rnacentral:lncRNA from 1 species
UUUUUGUCUUUGCACAGGGCAAUGAAAUGGCAGAUGAUCUGGUAACAGUGACAAGAACAAAAUCCCACAUACAACUUAAAAAAAAAAAUGAAGAGGCCCUGGAACUGGAUUCAACAGAUUGAGAGGUGACAAGUAACAUUCCAGAUGGCAGAGUCUCCUUCAGCCUGAGCCUCUCAUGACCAGAUGCAAGCAGAGCCCUAGGCUGGAUGCCCAGGCUGUCUCCCGUGGUGGUGUAUCGUGGCUAUCACUGUGCAUCAGCAGAGCACUGGGACUCUAGUUGAUUGGGUGAUAUUUCACUUGGAGAUAUCUUCUAGGGUGGUGCCUUUGGUUGAGAACUUCCUUCAGCCUCAUGGUUUCAUCACUGAGGAAACUGAGACCCUGCUGGUUAAUGACAGACCCAGUCUUUGACUUUCUGACCCUCAGGCCCAGCUUCAGUGUAAGUGUCAUAAGCGUAAGAAUUUUUGUCCAUUUUGCUCACUGUUAAACCCCCAGGGCUUAGUACAGCUUUUGGCACAUAGGAGACACUCAAUUAUUUGUUGAAUGAAUAAAUGAAUGAAUGAGUAGAUGGGUGACAUCCAUUCUAAGAUGCCAUCUCCAAGAUCCACCAGCAACAAAGUGAUUGACUAUUGAUGAUUUCAAAGGCCCUAAACAUAAUCGGCUUUCAGGUGGCUACAAAAAGAAGGUCCAUUACCAGAGAUGAAGGAGCCACAGAGUAAAUGGGAUUCUUCAAGGCAGUGCCACAUUGUCACAGAAACUUGACUUCCAAAUUAAAUGCAGUACCUCCACUGAUUUAAGAUGUACAGUAUUUCCAUUAGAAUAAUAAUAUCACCACUGAGAUUUUGAAUUUAUGUGCAUAUUUAUGGAGGGAGCUGUCUAUUGAUGGAUCAUAAUGAUGACGUCUCUGCUACAAAAGAGUCCAAGCCUGGCGCCACAAAAUGGCCCGCAUUAUUGGAAUUACGCCACGGGUGCAGCACCCAACAUGCUGUUGCCUCUUAGGAAUUGCUAAUUCCAUAAAUUGCUCUUUAAAGGGUGUUUUCUUUAUUCAUUUCCCCAAUUAAAAACAUAUCUAAAGAUUGUUCCAUGCUUUUAACUUCACGCAAGAAUAUUUUUGUGCCCUUUGAGAGGAUAUUUAUUACCUUUAUACAAAGUAUACAGAGCUAGCUAAAGGAAACAGCAUUUACUCUGGAAAAAGUUUUGGAAUGUGCCAGGUUUGUUCUACAUUAUGUUGGUAUUAAAUCUUAGCAACACAUCAGUAUAUGGAAUCUCACCUUGCCAGGUGAGCUAGGUUGAAUGUUUUCAUAUGACAAUGAUUUUCAGUUCGGAUUUAAUGUCUGGGUGAGGCAUGUGAGGCCUAGAAAAGCAAAGAGGCAUUGGCCAUCUAGAGAGAUUUGGUUGUAGUGGUAGAUAUUUGAGUUUCAGUGACCAAGACAUCAGGGACAGCAGGUUGCCCUUUCUUUAUUGUGAGAUCUGGAAGCUGCUUUUUGUUGUAUUAUACUUUAAAGUAACUUAAAGUAUCCUCAAACCCAAAUUGGGUUUUAUUUAUUAAACACUGGAUCUUAUUCUCACUUUUCAGUCUGAGAAACAGAGCUAGAGAACUGUUGGGAAAAAAAAAAUGUAUAUAUAUACAUAUAUAUAUAUAUGUAAUAUUAGCCAGGAUGGUUUAGGUUAUUUUGUGGGGAAAAAACUCCGUCAAAUUUUCCCAGUUCACCCUUUUGAACAACAAAAGUUCAUUUCUCAUUCAAGUCGUAAGUCCCACACAGGUGGGCUGCAGCUUCUCUUCCAUACAGAACUUGCAGACCCACCAUCUGGCACAUGCAUCUUCAAUAGCUGAGGUAGAGGAAGGGACACUUGGAGGUCCAUGCCUGUCUCUUUUGCUCAGAAGUGACUGCACCACAUUUUCCACAACCUACUGGCACCAGUAAUUACACAGUCCCUUCAGUAUGAUAAGGGGGUGGAACAAUAUCUUCUUCCCAUGUGCGAGAAAGAAGAGAACCAGACUUGAGUGAGCACCUGCUAUCUCUACUACAGGUAAUAAAAACUAGCUGCCACUUUCUGUCAGGACAAUUCCCUGAGCUAAAUGAAUUUCACAACCCAUAUAUCCAGGCUCCAAUAUUGUGUAGACUAUCAGAAAUAAAAAUAUGUGACUAGGACAUAUUUGAAAUUUAUCUUUCCUCCUAUAAAUCAUUUAAGUCCAAAUGGUAUGUUAAAAAGAGGUGUAAUCCAAUCCUUUAUGGACUAAGGUGGGAGGAACAUCCUGCCCAGUGUACAUGUAUAACUACACAUAUACAAGGCAGUGGGUUCACAAAGACUCUAAAUCUGCAGCAAAAAGCAUUACCUUAUGCUUUUAUUGUAACAAUUGGGUCCUUCACAUUGCUGCACUCAUUGGAAAGUGGAGGCAUAUUCCUUAAAUAUCUAAUUUACCUUAUAGCUUAGCCUGAUAAAAUAUAUUUUAUCAGACCCUCUAAAAAUUUCCUUAUUUGCAAAUUUUUCCAGUGUUCUUCUGCCUAUGUCCAGUUGAAUAGAGGGAGGGAUGUGGGAUUUACUUACCUCUCAACAUUCAGGGGGAGACGUUUGGUGCCUUAGGCAGCUCUUUGGGCAUGGCGGGCCUGUAGUUUAUUGAUGUCUGUCUGAGAUUGUGUCUUGUCUUCACAGACCAUUGGGUGUCCUGUUCAUUGGCCUCUGCUCUUGGAAUCUGUAGCACCCACGGGCUUCUCUUUGGCUCCUGAUAGUGAGCCAUGCCUGACUUCGUCUCCCCCAGGCUCACUUUUAUCCCCUCUGACCUCUGGCAGGAUAGCUGCCCUGGGGGGUCCACCACACAGUCCAUACUGGUGUAACUUCACCGGCUACCCUGACCUCCUUUAUAAAACACUGUAGCCAAUUCUGGGGCUGGUGCAUACUGCCCAGGUCUGGGAAAGAUAAAUGUCAAAUCCUCCCAUUUUGUUACCAUUCUUAGGUUGUAGAUUUACUUUGAUGUGGUUAUAUUCCAGAUGAGUGAUGAUACCCCACAAGUGGCCUACUGUCAGAAUACUAAUGAGACUAUUGGGGUGCAGGAGGGCCAUCAAAAGAAGAGCUUUUUUCCACCUUUAGUGGUACCCUCAAUUCCCUCCCUGCUCUGGUCAACCUGUGAAGACUCGGGCAGAAUCUGCUUAUCUGACUCUCCCUAGUUGGAUUCGUCAACACUGAGCCACGACAUGAACUCCAAAGAAAAUGAUAUUUUAUAUAGCAUGCAGAGAGUAUAUGGAAGACUCCAAAGUUGAGAACAUGAGCAACUUUGAGAAGGGUUUAAACUUAUGGAUGAUACCAGAGACCUAUCUCCCCUAAACUUUGGAGGGUGAGGUCAUACAGGGCCUGGGCCACAAGCCAUCAUCAGAGACCAAACACUGGAUUCACGGAUCACUGGUGUAACCCAGACGACAUCUCUUAUAAUUUUAUGCUGUCCAGAGGGCUGAACUGCUGACAUCAAAUCUUUAUCUCAAAGAUGCAAAUGUAAACCUAAUGUUCUUUUUCAAACAGUAGCUAGUUAUAGCACUAGAGAUGUUUAAGCCCGAGGCUUUACAAACACUUUUAUAAUAUCAUUAGCCUGAAGAUUGCCCCUGUCUCUAUUUCAUAACACCAACGUUUGCAAAUCUGGGCAUUUGCAAUUCUUUCUAUUUCUUUCCAUGUCAUGGGAGCUCGAGCAUCUGCUUUCAGAGAAUAAACAUUGCUUUCUGCCCUUGAACCCAUGGAGGAUGACAGAGGAGAGGAAAGCUGAACUUCUUGUAUGCCCUUGGCCUCAGUCACCACCAUCCUGCUCUGGUUUCCUUUGGGCUCUGGCUCUGUUGGCCAAACAUUUUCAUGGCUGGUUUAAAGAGGAUGUGCCUAAUUUAGAGCCACUGACACAGGCCAGGGAACAGGCCACCUGGCAAAUGCCUUGGGCUUUGACUAAUUCCACUAACUUACAGCCCAGGCCAAGUUCCCCUCAAGUUGUCCUGAGGUUUGUAAACCUUUUGGCAAUGCUGGGCUAGCACUGGACCAGGUCAUCAGUGUUUCAUGGUCCUCAGCUAGGUGUGAAAUUUUAAUCAAAGGGAUUUGAUUUUUGCAAAAAUAUAACGCACCACCAGAAAUGUCACAUAGAAUUAAACUUUGGAUUCACUGAGGUUCACUAUGAAUCAGAGGGUUUCAUACACAGUGGCCCAUCCUGUCCUCUUUGGUAGGGAUUGGGGGGGCAUGUUAAAAAUAAAUGGAAUCAGGGUAGUUCUGGUCUCUUUUAUCUUAUGGGGAAAUGUUACAAUAAUUUUUAGUCCAUCCACACUUUGGAACUGAAUAAUUACUUUCCACUUUAAUUACAAGAUGGCACAGAAAAUACAUAAGCCUCAGCCCAAAAAUACACUCUCUGCAUCCGGUAGAUAUUAUAGAAAUGAUUUGCUGUUAUAUGCAAUAUGGUCUCCAGACAGGCUCUAGGCUCCCAGAAGUUCAUCUAGGAUGGUUUCAACAAUCCUUAUAUCUGAUAAGUAAACACUAGACAAAGAAGGCAUUGGAACAUCAGCCUAAAAAAUGAGAAUGGGCUCUCACCCAGUAAGACAAAGCCAGAGCCCGGUCCUCUAUAAAGGGAAUUUAAGGCUUCAGAAGGAAGUGGGGCUGAUGGCUAAUGUGGAGAAUGGGUGAGAAAGAUCCCUCUGUAGCUUAGAAUACCAAACUCACCAGAGCUUAACCAGACAGAUUCUGGAGCGACAGAAUCCUUUGAGUAUUGUCCCCUGCCCCAAACCCAGACCAAGUCACUAUAUGUUGCCAGUUACAGAAGUGAUUCACCUGAGCACUGAGGGAAUUCAUUUCUUAUCACUUCUCCUUGACCUGGAGCAGGUCACUGGAUCUCCAUAGGCUUCAGGCGUCCUCUUUCCUCUCUGGUUGGGGCGGGAAGUGGUGGGUAGCAUUGGGCAUGGAACCUAGUGUGGCUUCUAGAAUCAGACUGGUUUAGAACUUGGCUGUGUGACAUUGGGAAAGUUGCUUCUCCCUCGUGUGCCUCAGUUUUGUCAUCUAUAAAACGGGGUAAAUAGUAGAAUCCACCUUGAAGGGGUGCUGCGAAGAUUCAAUGAAGUGCUGACAAUGUAGCUUUUCACACAGUAACCCUUCAAGAUAUAAGACAAGUGAUGAUGAUGCCUCAGUAAAAAGAGCCAUGCCCUGUGUCCUCAUGUGUGUUUAUGUGUGUGCCUGUGUAUAUAAACAGAAAGAGGUGUUCAUGUGUAGGUAUAUGCAUAUGUGUGUGUGUGUGUGCUCGAGUGUGUAAACAGAAAGAGGUGUGUGACUGAAGGGCUUUAACAAAGGAGCAUAGGCCCUAGGUGGCAUGAAGCUGUGAUAGAAACAUGUAACUCCACAGAAUAGAGGUUUCCCUCAUCCUUUGGACCUAGAGUAAGUGAUGCUAGGCUGGUGAUGGUAAUGAGAUCCCAGGUCACCAAGGCCCUUUUAUUCAGUGGCUGCUAGUCUCCAGGUGUCAGAGGGGAGGCUUUACAGAAAUCACUACAGAUUAUCUAUCUGGGGCAAGGGUGACUCAGUACAAAACCAAAAUGAUUGGACUCCUUGGGUGACUUUGCAAGGAUUUUAGCUUCUUCUUUCAGGCAAAGAGAGUGAUCAGGACAUGGGCCAAUGGGGUCUGUAAAUAUCCCUGGAGAUCUCAGAGAUGCAAGGUGGAAUAGACUGAAUGUGGAAGGAAUUUUCUCAUUAUAGGUACACUGAGACUCAAAAGACUUGGAAGGUGAGUAGCAAGUAAACAUAACCUCAGUACUUCAAGGUGCCAAGGCUGGAUCUCCUGUUUAUACUUCUUCCUUGAGGGGUGUGGGGGCUGGCUCUAAACGUGGCCAUUCCUCUGUCUUCCUCUCAGCCCUGCUAGGAAGGCUGUUAUACAUGACAGUGUUACAGCCCACUGGUUAUCUGAUACCUGGGUACUCGUGACUGACUCAUCUGUUUUCUUUUCCCAUAUUUGUUCUCUACCAUUGAUAUGAACCCUUCCAUAAGGAAAGAAGAUACAGAAAAAGAAGAACACAUUCCCUAUGUUAUUUGGAAUUUGCUCUGAACCAACCUUCAGGGAUAAGACAGAAUUAUGGACUAUACUUAGGUUUGGAAAUUUUGGUUGACUAUGUUUAUCUCUUUUAUCAGCCCAAACAAAUCACUAGACUCCAAUUAUUAUAUUUUUAAAUAAUAAUAAUGUUUAAAAAACUGCAAUUCUUUUAAAACAUCUCUAGAUGAAUCAUAUUGUACUUUUCUCAGAGCUAAAAUGAAGUAAUAAGGGAUUCUUAGUAUCUUUCCUACACAUAGAAAAUGAAGCAUAACAAUUUCUUUUCUUUUCUUUUUUUUUUUAAUGGCUGCACCUGUGGCAUAUGGAAAUUCCUGGGCCAGAGGCUGAAUCAGAUCUGCUGCUGCAGCCUACACCAUACCUACAACAAUGUUGGAUCCUUAAACCAGUGAGGCAGGCCAGGGAUUGAACCCACAUCCUCAGAGAGACAACAUC